CCCUUAGAUGUUCUGGGCCGCACGCGUGCUACACUGAGUGGAUCAGCGGGUCAGGUUGCGCGAAAGUGUUUCCUAAUCUUUAAAUCCGCUCGUGAUGGGGAUUGACGGUUGCAAUUUUCCGUCAUGAACGAGGAAUACCUUGUAAGCGCGGGUCAUCAUCCCGCGCUGAAUACGUCCCUGCCCUUUGUACACACCGCCCGUCGCUCCUACCGAUUGAGUGGUCCGGUGAGGCUUUGGGAUCUGAGCGGAAAGAGCGUUUCGCUGUUUCUGCCCGGAAAGCUCAGUCGAACCUUAUCAUUUAGAGGAAGGAGAAGUCGUAACA
rnacentral:rRNA from 1 species